rnacentral:lncRNA from 1 species
CUGCAGAAUUACCAGUCUUCCCACCCAACUUCACCUUCAUGAGCUCCUUGGCAUCUCCCUCGAGAGUAAUUGUAUGCAAGGACAACAGCAGAUUCUCUGUUACUACAACUAAAGCAUCUCUUUUCUCCAUGAACAGAAGCUUCUGUACAAGGUUGUCAGCUGACAAUACGUGGCUUGUCUUUCCUUUCUCAUUCACGUAGUGCACAGAACCGUCAGUCAAGGUGAUAAAGAAGGACAGUCCUUCUUGGAGUCCCAUUUUCAGAGGUGCUUCUGUUCCAGCUUUUCUCCAGUUAAACAUAUCCAAGGCUUUCUCAUCACCACUCACAGCAGCUUUUGCCAGCUGUAGGAAGUCUCUGCAAACAAGAGAUACUUCAUUUCCCUAUACUUAAAUUCCCUACAUAACAGAGUACAUUCCAUCCUAAAGAAAGGAAUGAAUAUUUCAUAGUAUUGUGAAGAGAGAAGAAAGAUGCUUCAUACACUGGUUGGAAACCAACUAACCCCAAAAAGAUAUAAAGCUCAUUUAGUACCGGUUUUCACUUGUAUUGCU